rnacentral:rRNA from 1 species
GUUUGAUCCUGGCUCAGGAUGAACGCUGGCGGCGUGCUAAACACAUGCAAGUCGAACGAACCUUCGGGUUAGUGGCGGACGGGUGAGUAACGCGUGGGAAUCUGCCCUCAGGAGGGGGAUAACGACUGGAAACGGUCGCUAAUACCCCAUAUGCCGAGAGGUGAAAUGAAUUUCGCCUGAGGAUGAGCCCGCGUCUGAUUAGCUAGUUGGUGGGGUAAGAGCUCACCAAGGCGACGAUCAGUAGCUGGUCUGAGAGGAUGAUCAGCCACACUGGGACUGAGACACGGCCCAGACUCCUACGGGAGGCAGCAGUGGGGAAUUUUCCGCAAUGGGCGAAAGCCUGACGGAGCAACGCCGCGUGAGGGAUGAAGGCCUCUGGGCUGUAAACCUCUUUUCUCAAGGAAGAAGAUCUGACGGUACUUGAGGAAUAAGCCACGGCUAAUUCCGUGCCAGCAGCCGCGGUAAUACGGGAGUGGCAAGCGUUAUCCGGAAUCAUUGGGCGUAAAGCGUCCGCAGGUGGCUUUGUAGGUCUGCCGUUAAAGCGUGGAGCUUAACUCCAUUUCAGCGGUGGAAACUACAAGGCUUGAGUGUGGUAGGGGCAGAGGGAAUUCCCGGUGUAGCGGUGAAAUGCGUAGAUAUCGGGAAGAACACCAGUGGCGAAGGCGCUCUGCUGGGCCAUAACUGACACUCAUGGACGAAAGCCAGGGGAGCGAAAGGGAUUAGAUACCCCUGUAGUCCUGGCCGUAAACGAUGAACACUAGGCGUCGGGGGAAUCGACCCCCUCGGUGUCGUAGCCAACGCGUUAAGUGUUCCGCCUGGGGAGUACGCACGCAAGUGUGAAACUCAAAGGAAUUGACGGGGGCCCGCACAAGCGGUGGAGUAUGUGGUUUAAUUCGAUGCAACGCGAAGAACCUUACCAGGGUUUGACAUCCUGCGGACCCCUGAGAAAUCGGGGGGUGCCUUCGGGAACGCAGUGACAGGUGGUGCAUGGCUGUCGCCAGCUCGUGUCGUGAGAUGUUGGGUUAAGUCCCGCAACGAGCGCAACCCACGUCUUUAGUUGCCAGCAUUCAGUUGGGCACUCUAGAGAGACCGCCGGUGAUAAACCGGAGGAAGGUCUGGAUGACGUCAAGUCAUCAUGCCCCUUACAUCCUGGGCUACACACGUACUACAAUGCUACGGACAAAGGGCAGCGAACUCGCGAGAGCAAGCAAAUCCCAUAAACCGUGGCUCAGUUCAGAUCGUAGGCUGCAACUCGCCUACGUGAAGGGG